GCUCUUUAGCGUAUGGACGGUUUUUGCGUCUAGUCGGGCGGUUAGCCAGACUCUAACUUAUUGAGCACU
rnacentral:sRNA from 1 species